rnacentral:rRNA from 1 species
CCUACGGGCGGCAGCAGUGGGGAAUAUUGCACAAUGGGGGAAACCCUGAUGCAGCGACGCCGCGUGAGUGAAGAAGUAUUUCGGUAUGUAAAGCUCUAUCAGCAGGGAAGAAAAUGACGGUACCUGAGUAAGAAGCCCCGGCUAACUACGUGCCAGCAGCCGCGGUAAGACGUAGGGGGCAAGCGUUAUCCGGAUUUACUGGGUGUAAAGGGAGCGUAGACGGCAGCACAAGUCUGGAGUGAAAUGCCGGGGCUUAACCCCGGAACUGCUUUGGAAACUGUGCAGCUAGAGUGCAGGAGAGGUAAGUGGAAUUCCUAGUGUAGCCGUGAAAUGCGUAGAUAUUAGGAGGAACACCAGUGGCGACGGCGGCUUACUGGACUGUAACUGACGUUGAGGCUCGACAGCGUGGGGAGCAAACAGGAUUAGAUACCCGAGUAGUC